rnacentral:rRNA from 1 species
UAAACUGGGAUUAGAUACCCCACUAUGCCCAGUCGUAAACACUGAUACCUUUAUAUCCGCCAGAGAACAACGAGCAAGGCUUAAAACCCAAAGGACUUGGCGGCAUUCCACAUCACCCUAGAGGGGCCUGUCACAUAAUCGAUAACCCACGAUAAACCUCACCACUUUUAGCCCAUAGCAGCCUAUAUACCGCCGUCGCCAGCCCAUCUUGAAAAAGAAACAAAUGGGCCAAAUAGUCCCACCACUAGUACGACAGGUCAAGGUGUAACUAAUAAAGCGGUAAAUGAUGGACCACAUUGCUACCCCCAGCUAAACCAAAAAUGCACUGAAACACGCACUUUAAGAUGAAUUUAACAGUAAGGCAGACAAGAAAAUCUACCUAAAGACUGCUCUGGAACGUGCACACACCGCCC